AUUCAACAUGGUCUCGAGAAUGAAUUAACGAUUAUCCUUAAAUGUUAUUUGACCACUGAAUUAAUGAUAGUCAUUAAUUCAUUGUCAUGCGCAAGGCGCGGAUGCUAAGGUGUUGUUGAUCACAUGGUUGACUACUCAAGCAUUCAAUUGCAAGCAUUGAAGCAAGCGAGGAUGACUGGUAAGCGAGGUCGAUACCUUUUGAAAUACUUGGCUUAAAACGAUUUGUUUUGUCAAUUGUUCAUUGAGCGUGAAAUUUUUAUUCAAAUAUUUGAUCUCUCGUUUUGACAAACUUCGAUUUCGUAGUUCAAAUGCGGGAAAAGUAUAAAGAAAUCCUGAUCGAUAAGUACGAUGAUCUAUCACGUGUGGAAUGCUUCGAUCGUUCAACGUGAUCCGAAAUAUUUCUGAAAUAAGCUUACAAAAGCAAUGGAGCAUAUAUUAGCUACCAUGCGAUAAUACUCUCGUCCAUGGUCCCCAUACAGCUGCUUUAGUUCAAGAAGAAAGGUUCCCAAGUCAAAGUUGUUUGCACGUCUAAACCAUCCCUGUUACAUUAUCUUCGGCUGCUAAACUGUUAUAGCCAAGUUGGCUUAAAUAUGCGUACCAAAUGUACUAAUAUGUUAUUAUAAACCAAAUAUAUAUUCCGAAUACCAUGCUUUCUAUCAGCGCUAUUUUAUAAUUCAGGAUAAAUUGCAGGAGUGAUAUUAGACAUCUAUUUAGAUACUUCAUCCAUCCUUAUGCAGGACUCCCGGAUAUUGUGAUAUUAUCAGAUACUUUCUAAUCAGAUGCUAUUAGAUAUCCAUUUAAAGAUACCCUCAAGCUCCUCCUCUAUGCGGGACCCCACGAACUCGAUAUUAAAUAUAAUUAUCCUCAUUUUUACUAAGAGAUUACAUUGCCAGCAAUAAUUUACACAGAAUAUAUAAAAAUAUAGAUUUUUUUAGUGAUAUGUUAUGAAAUUCUGUUUAUGGUAAUGUUAUGCUUACUUUACAGGCCAUGCAAACUUUACAGGCCAUGCAAAAAAAAAACUUUAAUAUAUUGUAACACAUUUUAUUACUUUUUUAUUAAAAGACAAACCACAGACACCAAACAAAAAGAUAGUACCGCGGCUUAAGGCCUGUCCAGAAUGUGGUACAAAUUGUCCUACUGCAUGUCGCAGCUGCAAAAAUGAAAACUGCUCAUACAUUUUUGCGAAGAAGGUCAAGUCGAACCAUGAUGCUAUUGAAAAGAAAGGGACAACCAACCCAACCAAUCAGAAAGACAUGAUGUAUUAUAGGGUGCCAGCUCAACCACACUGUGCACCAUGUGCAGAUAAAGGUGUGUAUGCAGAACCACCAUAUCGCAUUUGGAACCUCUGUGUGUGAGCAAAAGAAGGGUAAGGUGCCAGCUCAACCACACUGUGCACCAUGUGCAGAUAAACACAUGUAUGCAGAACCACCAUAUCGCAUUUUAGCCCAAGAUUUAUGUCUGCAAGAAUGGUCAAGGAUUACAUAAUUAAUAAGUUAUCAUUUUGCAUGACACAAUAAUAGCAAUUAAGCGAAUACAUGCAGACAUGCACACUCAGCAGUCUUCAGAUUAUGUAAUCAGUUUAUUAUGUUGCAGCUAAAUGUAGUCUAAUAAUGUAUCCUUAGACUAUUGCACUGUCAGCUUAAAUUUAAGUUCUGUCCCCUCAAGUCACAUUCUUGGAGCAUGUUUCAAAUUUCAUACUCUGGCCUCACAGCAUUGCAUAUUUAUUUGAUUCUAGGCAGACGUCCUGCAUCAGAAACACCAAAAUGACAUUGUCAUUUUGACAUUUAAAAAACAUGGUCUGGGCACAACAGUAGAGUGCUAUGGCACAGAAGGUGCCGGUGCAGCCUUUGUUGGGCACGAGGGGGAGAAGCCUGCCCAUGAACUUGGGAAAAUGGUUAAGAAAAUGUUUGAGACGUUUAUGGAAGAGGCCGUUAGGACAACAACAAUGCAAUAUCACUUUGCUUGACAAGCUAAGCUUGAUCCUGGAAAGAGAGGAGCUCCCAAAAAGAGAUGCCAUAGCUGCAAUGACAGCAAUGCCCUUGCACGAAGAGUUUGUACAACGUGCAAGGCCCCUUUCCCUCCCCCAAAAAAGAAGGAAAUGAGGGGGGAUGGGAAUAUCACCCACCAAAGAGGACAUCUUUUCGAUAGGGCAGAUGUCCUUCAAAAGGAGCACGGCGUGGAUGUGGUCGUCCUUAUGUUUGGACGGCACGGCAAAGGGACGACCACAUCCUGCUACGGCACAAGAGGAAGGGGCCUGAAGUUUAUCGGGGACCAGCAGGAGGCCAAACCUGACGAGGAUGGCCAACUUGCCUUCCGCUUGUUUGAUAGAUUCAUGAGAGCCCAAAGAAAAACACCCGCGGCAACAACACCACCCACCGGGUCACCCGCGGCGACAACACCACCCACGGCAGCACCCGCGGCGACAACACCACCCACGGUGGCACCCGCGGCGACAACACCACCCACGGGGGAACCCACGGGGGCACCCGCGGCGACAACACCAACCGAGGCGGCGUCAACAUGAACAUAGCAUGCUCCAUGUACAAAACAGAAUAAAUCAGUUUAUUUUUCAA